rnacentral:rRNA from 1 species
GCCUACCAUGGUUUCAACGGGUAACGGGGAAUUAGGGUUCGAUUCCGGAGAGCGAGCCUGAGAAACGGCUAGCACAUCCAAGGAAGGCAGCAGGCGCGCAAAUUACCCAAUCCCAAUACGGGGAGGUAGUGACAAUAAAUACUGAUACAGGGCUCUUUUGGGUCUUGUAAUUGGAAUGAGUACAAUUUAAACCUCUUAACGAGGAACAAUUGGAGGGCAAGUCUGGUGCCAGCAGCCGCGGUAAUUCCAGCUCCAAUAGCGUAUAUUAAAGUUGUUGCAGUUAAAAAGCUCGUAGUUGAAUUUCGGGGUUAGUAGGUUGGUCAUGCCUCUGGUAUGUACUGAUCUCACUGAUUCCUCCUUCCUUAUGAACCGUAAUGCCAUUAAUUUGGUGUUGCGGGGAAUUUGGACUGUUACUUUGAAAAAAUUAGAGUGUUUAAAGCAGGCUAACGCUUGAAUACAUUAGCAUGGAAUAAUGAAAUAGGACGUUCGAUCUUAUUUUGUUGGUUUCUAGGAUUGACGUAAUGAUUAAUAGGGAUAGUUGGGGGCGUUAGUAUUCAAUUGUCAGAGGUGAAAUUCUUGGAUUUAUUGAAGACUAACUACUGCGAAAGCAUUUGCCAAGGAUGUUUUCAUUAAUCAAGAACGAAAGUUAGGGGAUCGAAGACGAUCAGAUACCGUCGUAGUCUUAACCAUAAACUAUGCCGACUAGGGAUCGG